rnacentral:rRNA from 1 species
CCUACGGGUGGCAGCAGUGGGGAAUAUUGGACAAUGGGGGAAACCCUGAUCCAGCGACGCCGCGUGGGUGAGGAAGUAUUUCGGUACGUAAAGCUCUAUCAGCAGGGAAGAAAAUGACGGUACCUGACUAAGAAGCCCCGGCUAACUACGUGCCAGCAGCCGCGGUAAUACGUAGGGGGCAAGCGUUAUCCGGAUUUACUGGGUGUAAAGGGAGCGUAGACGGCGGGGCAAGUCUGGAGUGAAAUGCCGGGGCCCAACCCCGGAACUGCAUUGGAAACUGGGAAGCUGGAGUGCAGGAGAGGCAAGCGGAAUUCCUGGUGUAGCGGUGAAAUGCGUAGAUAUAAGGAGGAACACCGGUGGCGAAGGCGGCCUGCUGGACCGCGACUGACGUUGAGGCUCGAAAGCGUGGGGAGCGAACAGGAUUAGAUACCCUUGUAGUC